rnacentral:rRNA from 1 species
GAAAAGCCGUAGAGAUACGGUCCUGUUUCUAGGGCAUUCCUCUGC